ACGUAAGACAGUUAGGCAGCAGAUUAGAGCCAUUAGACCCUUAGUAUAGGAGUAAAAUCUAGAUACUAGUAGUUAUACCGAAGGUGGUUUAUUUGAGAUGCUGAGGCUGUGAAAGCUUUAAGGGAAACUGGGAUUGGAUACCCCACUAUUUUUAGCUAUAAAUUUACUUUUAAUAUACCAGAGUACUACGAAUAAAAAGUUUAAAACUCAAAGGGCUUGGCGGUGUUUUAGACCUCUCAGGGGAACCUGUCUCAUAAUCGACAGUCCACGUUAAACCUAACCCUUUAUAGUAAUUCAGCUUGUAUACCGUCGUCGUCAGGUAACUUCUUAAAAUAUAGUAGUUAGCUAGAAAAUUUUAUUGAUUAAAACGUCAGAUCAAGGUGCAGCCAAUGAAAGGGGGAGGAUGGGUUACAAUUAUAGAUUUAUAAUUACGGAAAGGGCUUAGAAAUAAAGCAACUUAAAGGAGGACUUGAAAGUAAUUUUAAUUACAUAAAUAGGAUGAAUGUGGCUCUGAAACGUG
rnacentral:rRNA from 1 species